UACGUAGGGUGCAAGCGUUAAUCGGAAUUACUGGGCGUAAAGCGUGCGCAGGCGGCUUUGCAAGACAGAUGUGGAAUCCCCGGGCUCAACCUGGGAACUGCAUUUGUGACUGCAUGGCUAGAGUGCGGCAGAGGGGGAUGGAAUUCCGCGUGUAGCAGUGAAAUGCGUAGAGAUGCGGAGGAACACCGAUGGCGAAGGCAGCCCCCUGGGCUGACACUGACGCUCAUGCACGAAAGCGUGGGGAGCAAACAGG
rnacentral:rRNA from 1 species